rnacentral:rRNA from 1 species
GACGGAGGGUGCUAGCGUUGUUCGGAAUCACUGGGCGUAAAGGGCGCGUAGGCGGCCUUGCAAGUCGGUUGGUGAAAGCCCGGGGCUCAACCCCGGAGGUGCGGCCGAGACUGCAGGCUGGAGGCCGGAAGAGGAGGGUGGAAUACCCAGUGUAGAGGUGAAAUUCGUAGAUAUUGGGUGGAACACCGGUGGCGAAAGCGGCUCUCUGGUCCGGAACCUGACGCUGAGGCGCGAAAGCGUGGGGAGCAAACGGG